rnacentral:lncRNA from 1 species
GAAAGACUUGAAAGUCAAAAUUACUCCUUGCUCCAUGGGCUGAAGAUGGAUGUUGUUUUAGUGAGCAUGAAAACAACAUUAAUCUUCUUGUACAUCUCCAUUGGAGCUCUUGAGUGACCAGGUACAUCAUAAAUGAGCAGAAAUCUUUUUUUUUUUUCUCUCUGAACAGUAGGUCUCAACAGUGGGCUUAAAAUAUUCAGUCAACCAUGCUGUAAACAGAUGUGCUGUCCUUCAGGCUUUGUUUUUCCAUUUAUAGAGCAUAGGCAGAGUAGAUUUAGCAUCAUUCUUAAGGGCCCUAGGAUUUUCAGAAUGAUAAAUGAGCAUUUGCUCUGACUUAAAGUCAUCAGCUGCAUUAGCCCCUAGCAAGAGUCAGCUUGUCCUUUGAAGCUUUGAAGACAGGCAUUGGCUUUUCUCUAGACAUGAAAGCCCCAGAUGGCAUCUUCUUCCAAUAGAAGGCUGUUUUGUCUACAUGGAAAAUCUAUUGAUUAAUGUAGACAUUUUUAUCAAGGCCUGAGCUGGAUCUGGAUAACUCACUGCAGCUUCUCCAUCAGCACUUGCUGCUUCACCUUGCACUUUUAUAUUAUGCAGAUGACUUCUUUCCUUAAAUUUCACGAAACAAUCUCUGCUAGCUUCAAACUUUUCUUUAGCAGCUUUCUCACCUCUGUUAGCCUUCAUAGAAUUGAAAAGAGUUAGGGCUUUGCUCUGGAUUAGGCUUUGGCUUAAGGGAAUGUUGUGGCUGGUUUGAUCUUCUAUCCAGACCACUCAAACGUUCUCCAUGUCAGUAAUAAGUCUGUUCCACUUUCUUAUCAUUUGUGUUUUCAGUUGAGUAGCACUUCUAAUUUCUUCAAGAACUUUUCUUUUGAAUUCACAGCUUGGCAAAAGAAGCCUUGCUUUCAGUGUAUUUUGGCUUUUGAUGUGCCUUCCUCACUAAGUUUAUUCAUUUUUAGCUUUUUAUUUAAAGGGAGAGAUAUGUGACUCUUUCUUUCGCUUGAACACUUUGAGGCCAUUGCAGGGUUACUAAUUGGCCUGAUUUUAAUAUUGUUGUGUCUCAGAGAAUAGGGAGACCCAAGGCAGGAGAAAGAGAGAGAGAGAGAGAGAGAGACAGGGGAAUGUCUGGUCAGUGGGGUAGAUCACUAUAACAAAUAGAGUAACUACAAAACAUUUGAAAUACUGUGAGAAUUGCCAGUAUGUGACACAAAGACACAAAGGGAGCACACCCUGUUGGGAAAAUGGCACUGAUAGACUUGCUGAAGAUAAGGUUGCCACAAACCUUCAAUUUGUAAAAAGAAAAAUACUCAAUAGAAGAAGCCAAAACCCUGGCUGCAUCUACAGAGAAUUACAUACCCUCACUUUAUAUACAGAUACAAAUUCAAUAGAGGAAACAGCACCCAUGUAUGUCAACCGUGGCUCUCCUGUUUGGUUCACAUUGAGCAUGGGAAGACAGACAGUCAAUAGGCUAGUACAGCGGUGUGCAAGUGGUGGCCUGCAAAUCCUAAACAGGUGGGCAAACAAAUUUAGCAUAAUCUGUGAAAUGUGUUUUUACUGCACAGUAACAUACAGUCACUACAAUGACGUUAGCCAGGGGGUAGUGCCACCGGGUGUAGAGCUGUGUACAGCUUGCUGCCAAUACAUUAAAUACUAAAGGAGUUACACCUAAUACUAGAAUAUGGGUAGAUGCAUGUAAAUGUAUGGCCAGGGAAAUAAGCUGGUGAUACCCCCGAGAAAACUGUAGACACUUUUAUAGUUAAUGUGAGAUGUUGCUUU